GGGGAAUAUUGGACAAUGGGGGAAACCCUGAUCCAGCGACGCCGCGUGAGUGAAGAAGUAUUUCGGUAUGUAAAGCUCUAUCAGCAGGGAAGAAAAUGACGGUACCUGACUAAGAAGCCCCGGCUAACUACGUGCCAGCAGCCGCGGUAAUACGUAGGGGGCAAGCGUUAUCCGGAUUUACUGGGUGUAAAGGGAGCGUAGACGGCACUGCAAGUCUGGAGUGAAAGCCCGGGGCUCAACCCCGGGACUGCUUUGGAAACUGUGGUGCUGGAGUGCAGGAGAGGUAAGUGGAAUUCCUAGUGUAGCGGUGAAAUGCGUAGAUAUUAGGAGGAACCCCAGUGGCGAAGGCGGCUUACUGGACUGUAACUGACGUUGAGGCUCGAAAGCGUGG
rnacentral:rRNA from 1 species